UCCAGGUAAGCGAUUUGGAAUUGUACUUUUAAACGACAGAAUGCACCAGGAAGUGUUGUUUUUUAUUUAGGAAAUUGCUUGAUUAUAUAGAUUUAUUUUAUAAGUUCAAGAAAUCAUGGAUCAAAGAAUUAAAUUUUUUGCCUCGUUUCGAAUGAGAUAUAGCAAUAACCUAGAAUGUGAAAGCUCAACCAAUUUGAUCCUAAACCAAUCACAAGAAAAAAGAUUUCCAAGCUGUAAUAAAAUAUGCAUUUAUGAAAAGCAUUGGAUUUGUUAGCAGUUGGAUUGAUGUAUUAUUUUAUCUGCAGUAUGAAUCCAAAAUAAAUCCUGUUGUGGAUAUGGAAAAAGCGGUUCCUGAAAUAUUAGCGCAAAUUUAAAAAUUAAAUGAUACCACUGAUAGCGUUGCUGUGAACACGGAUAAUCACUACAAGUCUUUCAAACCAGGUAAACAAUUUUUAUUUUUUUGUUAAAUGAUUAUGGUGAUUGUUACUUUAUUUUAUUUUUAGAUAAAAUUGCAAUGCCUGAUCUGUGUUGACAAUAUUAUGAUAAUGAAUCAAUAAAUCAUAUUGAAUUAGCACUUAAUAAAGUUA